rnacentral:rRNA from 1 species
AACGAACGCUGGCGGCAGGCUUAACACAUGCAAGUCGAACGGUUGUAGCAAUACAGCAGUGGCAGACGGGUGAGUAACACGUGGGAACCUUCCGUAGGGGUACGGAACAACUCAGGGAAACUUGAGCUAAUACCGUAUACGUCCGUGAGGAGAAAGAUUUAUCGCCCUUAGACGGGCCCGCGUAGGAUUAGGUAGUUGGUGGGGUAAUGGCCUACCAAGCCUACGAUCCUUAGCUGAUCUGAGAGGANGAUCAGCCACACUGGACUGAGACA